rnacentral:misc_RNA from 1 species
AAGUCGUAACAAGGUUUCCGUAGGUGAACCUGCGGAAGGGACAUUAAAGAGAUAGGGUCUUCAUGGCCCGACCUCCAACCCUCGUUGUUAUAACUACCUUGUUGCUUUGGCGGGCCUCAGGCUCACGCCCGGCUACCGGCUCACGCUGGUAAGCGCCCGCCAGAGAACCCCCAAACCCUGAAUAUUAGUGUCGUCUGAGUACUAUAUAAUAGUUAAAA